CCCCCCACCCAUCCAUCUCUCUCUCCCUGGACACAUCUCUGCCGCCACAGAUGCCGGCCGAUUCCGGCGUUCUCUGGCGACUUCCGCCACCGCGCAACACCGGUCCGAGCUCGCCUCGCUCCGCUGGGUCUUUUCCCCCAACGGGACUCGCCGCUAUCGGCCACCAGCGAUGACAUUAGGCCCUUACCAUGGCUAGGGUUUCGGGCGCCUCCACACUGGCGUGGCUCCCGCGCCUCCAGCGGCUCCUCUCCGACGCCCACUGCGCCCUCACACGCAGCUCCCAUCUCUAGGAAGCUGCUCCUUCGCCUGGUGCCCAUGUGAUGUGCAGGGCAAGGAUUGGAUGCUUGAGGAAGGAGGGGUCGCCCUUGCCUUGCUGCAGCUCGGGGCGCACCACCCAUGGCGCUUCCUCCUUUCUGUCUUCAGAGCAGGGUAUCAUGUGCCCGCUCACCUAUUGGUGCGGCUGGUGGAUAUAGAGAGAUCAACGAUGAGGAGACCCUCGUCGUUCUUCUGAUUGCAGCCAGUUGCGUGAUGUGAUGGCGGAGUUGUUCUGCAACCGCCUAGGGGCCAUGGACGAUGGAGAACUUCCUAACGCAGUAUGCGAGCGGGGACGAUGGAGAACUUCCUGGCGCAGUGUGCACGCGAGUGGGUUUCAGGACAGUUCAUGAUACAAGGUCAAGCUCAGCUUGGUAAAAGUGGAGCAGCUGUGUGAAGAGGUUGCUUAAUUGAAGGGAAUCAUCGAGAAGAUGUUACUAUCUUUCAUGCAUAAAAAUAAUUUUGGAGGAUGCAUGGAUCAAAGAGAUUAUGGAUUACCACAAGCUUAUGUGUAUCCAUGGGAGUUAUCUGUGUAUUAGAAUAUGGAUACACAUGUAACUAUAGCUUCAU